rnacentral:RNase_P_RNA from 1 species
GAAGCCCACCAGACCGCCGCUGGUGCAAUCUGGGAAACCAGGCACUGGAGGAACGUCCGGACUGCACAGGGCAGCGUAGCAGCUAACGGCUGUCCACCGUGAGGUGAGGAUCAGAGCAACAGAGACGAGUCCGAUCGGGCAUGGCCACCGGAGGUGUUCUGUGAGGCGCCAGCGCAAGCUGGCGAGAGGACAGCGCAAGCUGUCCGAACCCGGCGCAAGCCGGGUCCGAACAGCCACCCCGAGCGGGCACGCCCGCUCGGGGUGAAACGGGCAAUCUCUACGCGCAGCAACACCAAGUAGGCACACGUUGACGGGGCCCCCGGAGUGUGCGGGUAGGUGGCAUCGAGCCGGUGGGGCGACCCCCGGCCCAGAGUAAUGGCGGUCACAUGCGGGCAACCGUAUGCACAGAAUCCGGCUUAUCGGUGGGCUUCACAC